GACGAACGCUGGCGGCGUGCUUAACACAUGCAAGUCGAACGGAAAGGCCCUGCUUUUGUGGGGUGCUCGAGUGGCGAACGGGUGAGUAACACGUGAGUAACCUGCCCUAGACUUUGGGAUAACUUCAGGAAACUGGGGCUAAUACCGGAUAGGAGCCCCUGUAGCAUGGAGGGGGUUGGAAAGUUUCGGCGGUUGGGGAUGGACGCGCGGCUUAUCAGCUUGUUGGUGGGGUAGUGGCUUACCAAGGCUUGGACGGGUAGCCGGCCUGAGAGGGUGACCGGCCACAUUGGGACUGAGAUACGGCCCAGACUCCUACGGGAGGCAGCAGUGGGGAAUAUUGCACAAUGGGCGGGAGCCUGAUGCGGCAACGCCGCGUGCGGGAUGACGGCCUUCGGGUUGUAAACCGCUUUCGCCUGUGACGAAGCGUGAGUGACGGUAAUGGGUAAAGAAGCACCGGCUAACUACGUG
rnacentral:rRNA from 1 species